CAGACAGUCUGUGUUCCGUAUAAAUCAGCAGCUGUGGACUGUUGGGUUUAACUCACGGUUUAACCACUGUCCCUGUACUUUGUGGUUUCUCUAUUUUUAGGGGAUUUUUUUCGUACGUUGGCGUUUCUUUACCCUUUGCUUUCACUUCUUCACACGUUGAGUGUGUGCGAUCAGAGCGUGCUUCUGUCGUUACAGGAGGACAAUAAGGAAAACCGUACAUCAUCAGUCAUGGCCACCAUCAGCAGCUCAAACACAGGUUUUGCCCUGGAGUUGUUCCGCACUCUGAGCCAAGCAAAUCCCAGCGGGAACAUCUUUAUCUCCCCGCUGAGCAUCAGCUCCGCCCUGGCUAUGGUUUACCUCGGUGCUAGAGGAGACACUGCUGCUCAGAUGGCAAAGGCCCUCUCAUUCAGCUCUG